rnacentral:misc_RNA from 1 species
UAGGAUGUUGGAAGUCAACG